UACGUAGGGGGCUAGCGUUGUCCGGAAUCACUAGGCGUAAAGCGCAGGUAGGCGGUUCGGUAAGUCUGUUGUGAAAGCUCCCGGCUCAACUGGGAGAGGUCAACGGAAACUGCCGGGCUUGAGUGUGGUAGAGGUAGCUGGAAUUCCCGGUGUAGCGGUGAAAUGCGUAGAUAUCGGGAGGAAUACCUAUGGCGAAAGCAGGCUACUGGACCAUCACUGACGCUGAUCUGCGAAAGCUAGGGGAGCAAACAGG
rnacentral:rRNA from 1 species